CCUACGGGUGGCAGCAGUGAGGAAUAUUGGUCAAUGGCCGAGAGGCUGAACCAGCCAAGUCGCGUGAGGGAAGACGGCCCUACGGGUUGUAAACCUCUUUUGUCGGGGAGCAAAGCGAACCACGUGUGGUUCAUUGAGAGUACCCGAAGAAAAAGCAUCGGCUAACUCCGUGCCAGCAGCCGCGGUAAUACGGGGGAUGCGAGCGUUAUCCGGAUUUAUUGGGUUUAAAGGGGGCGCAGAGGGAGGUGCAAGUCAGCGGUCAAAUUGGGGGGCUCAAACCCGUACUGCCGUUGAAACUGCAGCCCUUGAGUGCGCGAGAAGUAUGCGGAAUGCGUGGUGUAGCGGUGAAAUGCAUAGAUAUCACGCAGAACUCCGAUUGCGAAGGCAGCAUACCGGCGCGCAACUGACGCUCAUGCACGAAAGCGUGGGUAUCGAACAGGAUUAGAUACCCUUGUAGUC
rnacentral:rRNA from 1 species